rnacentral:rRNA from 1 species
UGAUCAUCUUCCGUUCACAUACUGGGCGUAGCGCACGCAGGCGGUCUGUCAAGUCGGAUGUGAAAUCCCCGGGCUCAACCUGGGAACUGCAUUCGAAACUGGCAGGCUGGAGUCUUGUAGAGGGGGGUAGAAUUCCAGGUGUAGCGGUGAAAUGCGUAGAGAUCUGGAGGAAUACCGGUGGCGAAGGCGGCCCCCUGGACAAAGACUGACGCUCAGGUGCGAAAGCGUGGGGAGCAAACAGGAUUAGAUACCCUGGUAGUCCACGCUGUAAACGAUGUCGACUUGGAGGUUGUUCCCUUGAGGAGUGGCUUCCGGAGCUAACGCGUUAAGUCGACCGCCUGGGGAGUACGGCCGCAAGGUUAAAACUCAAAGGAAUUGACGG